AUUUACGUAAAGGAAGUGUUUCUUCACAUCCCAUUUUGAGCUGAAAGAUAACCAGCGGUGCAGUUCUGUUGAAAAAUAUUCAAAUUAGGUUUUACUCUCCUAAAAAGCUUCUCAAAGUCUACUUUCUACAGUUCAAUCAAAAUCUUAAUUUUUGUUACACCUGUCUUGCAUGUCUAGUCAAUCUAUAAUAUGGACACAAGUAACCAAUGGUAACAUGGUGUCUCCACCCUCUGACAAAAGUUUGUGCAUAGCUUAGACAAAACCACUAAAGUUAACCCAGCCAGUGCUGGCCUGACUCGAGCUUUACUUCUGGUGUCACUCAGGUAUUGCGUGUCUAUGGAAAGCAAACAAAAGCAACCAUUCCUUCUCCAGAAUCUUCUAUACAGCGAGUUUUAAGGGCUACCAAGGAGUCUGGCCUGAGUUAGAACAGAUACCGCAGUAAAAUUAACAAGAAAAUGUAUAAAAACUGUGUUGUCAGAAUAAUUUACUUGCUCUUGCUUGAAGAAAGGUACUGAUAAGCAAGGAAAGGAGACAAAUUCCACAAAUUCAUUACACUCUCCUAGGAAACAGAUUGUCUGGGUAGAUGGGUGUAACUAGCUACUGCAGGAGCCCAGGGAUGCGGGUUUUUUCUAGUUUCCUAGUAGUACGUACAGUAUCUUGUUCUAGGCUCACCUGUGAGAUGUAGUGGUCACCACAUGAUAGGAGAUGAGGUCACUCCAUGAUAAGAGAUAGGGCCAGGGAAUAGCAGUGCUACUGUCAGCCUCUCUCAUCCCAUGCUCUGGGAGCACGGGGGAGCGACUGGACCAAAACCUGCGUUUGUAGAGACUGUGUCCUUUGGCCAACUGGAAAGUGCAUCCCUGGAAGCGGGUGCCUCCCUGAAAUACUCAUUUUUCAAAUAAAGUUAUUUAUGUUGCUCUACCUCUGCAGUGAGUAGAUUGCUAAUGUGGUAGAUGCAUGAAACUAGGAAAAUACUCUUGAUGCACACAUAAGCUUGCUUUUUUGUGUGAUUGUGCUGCUGCAAAAGGAUUACACAAACUUCUAGGCCGCGUUCUCAACUCUUCUAUGAUCUCAAGGCACUACUCACAGCUCACAGAACCCACCUAAAGCCCUCUCUUUUUUUUCUUUUUUUUUUUUCCUUUGGAAGUCUUGUGCAAAGAUUGAGCUUUUCAGGUAUAGCUACUUAGCUAGACCAUGUUCAGGCUGGAGGCUUGCCAUGUGCCACUCACCGUGGAAGGUACUUCCUUCCUUCAGAGAGGACCUUCCUGCAGUUAGCACCAAGCACUAUGGCUAUGGGAUAGCUCCGUAGAAUUUGGUUCCCAACUGGAGCCAAACCAGCAAUUUUCAGUAUAUGUCCCAGGAGGCUUUUUUUUCACAACCUUCAAUGACUCUUACACAAACCAGGGUGGUGCAACAUGUUUUUCGGAAGUGUCAACUCUUUUUCCAGAGAGAAAGGUGAGGGAGUUCAUGAGCACUCUCCAUUUCUUGUUGGCUGCUGGGAAGUGACAAUUUGACUGCUGGCAGUCAUGGUGAGAAGCUUGUGUCACUGUCUGACUGGUCUGUGGCGGCUUUAUCAAGAACAGGAAUAUAUAAAAACAGUAGUUUUGGGACAAGACUUCACUUGGUGAAGCGGAGCAGCUCCCUGAGAGGAACCAGGCAGGACGGAUUGGCCACCCUGACCUGUUUCCACCUGCUACCUUUGGAGGUCUGAAGUUCACUAGGCUGUUAUAUUUUGUGACACUGAAUUUGGACAUGAAGAUUUCUUAUUUUUUCUUUGCUGUUCUCCUCUUAGUGCUCCAAAGCACUUUAGGUUUUAUGCGUGCACCUGAUAAUGAUGUGCAAUGCAAACAGGCUGGGGGCAGCUGCUCCAUGGACCGCUGUCCUCUGCGCACAAGGGCCUUUGGACGUUGCCAGAAAGGGAUCCCUUGCUGUAGGACUGUGUAUGAUUAGUGACUGUUGGCAUCUCAGAUGGGCUAAGUGGAGCUUCUAGCGAUUUGAGAAAGGUCUCAUCCUAUCAGAAAUCCUAGAAUUUUGGACUGAAAAUGUGGGCUUAACCUACUCUGCCAAGCAACAACAAAAAUGAAACAAAAUCCUCCACCAGACAAACUUCAUGACUUGAAGAAACUCUAGAGUGAUCCUUGAACCACCCAGGAAAGACGAGUAACUAAUUUUUUUUCCCCUUUUCCAAACUGACAAUAAUGAGAUUUGCACUAAAAGACAGUCUAGAGAAGAUACUGAAUGCACAACUGGAGUGUUUGUAAAUCAUAGUCUAUACUCUACAUGUCUCUAUAUAUUUCAAUAAACUUGCCCCAAAAGACUUGUGUGUGUUCCUUA